UGGGGAAUAUUGCACAAUGGGCGCAAGCCUGAUGCAGCAACGCCGCGUGAACGAUGAAGGUCUUCGGUUCGUAAAGUUCUGUUGCAGGGGAAGAUAAUGACGGUACCCUGUGAGGAAGCCCCGGCUAACUACGUGCCAGCAGCCGCGGUAAUACGUAGGGGGCUAGCGUUAUCCGGAUUUACUGGGCGUAAAGGGUGCGUAGGUGGUCUUUCAAGUCGGUGGUUAAAGGCUACGGCUCAACCGUAGUUAGCCUCCGAAACUGGAAGACUUGAGUGCAGGAGAGGAAAGUGGAAUUCCCAGUGUAGCGGUGAAAUGCGUAGAUAUUGGGAGGAACACCAGUAGCGAAGGCGGCUUUCUGGACUGCAACUGACACUGAGGCACGAAAGCGUGGGUAGCAAACAGG
rnacentral:rRNA from 1 species